AGGAUCAAGCCCUUUAGGCAGGUCACUUGGCCAUCAUGCUGUCUAGCUUGAGGGUCAGUGUGCAGGUGCUGUCUGGGCAAGAGGAAUCUUCAGAGUCCUGAGCAGAAGCUGGACACCCUCAGGGAGGACAGGAGGCCGGCAGACCCAAGAAAGACCCCCAUCGAUGCUGGUGGAAGUUCAGGGAGUGACAAAUGAGACAAUGACUAGAUGCUGUUUGUCGCCAGCGAUCCACAAGAACCAACUGAGCACUUUCUACGUGAUGGGAACUGUGCUGUGAAAGCCAGUGCGGACACGCUAAGGAAGAUGUGUGGCUGGGGUUAAGUGACCCGAUCUUCCUCAGUCUUGUUCUCCACUUCAGAGGGACACUCAUACUCACCUUGGAGAAAUGACAGGGCAAGAGGUCUUCUUGGACAACCGAUAGCUUCUAUCAACUAACAUUUGCACUGGGCUAUGAGAAGUGGGUGGGUAUUCCAGACAAUCCCUCAAGAACAGCUAAGCAGCAGGCCACACGGGGAAGUCCCCCGAGCCACUAGAGGAGGAGCACACUGUGCGUUCCAGGAGGAUCCUGUGAAGCAAACAUCAAUGUGCAGAGCCCUGCCCUGGAUUCCCAGGCUUUUAACUCAAAUCUGCACCAUACUUUCACCUCAGCUGACUUCUGGACUUUUGUUUAAAAUUCAUACUCUGUACUUGAAACAGAAAAAAGAUGUGAUUUUUUUUUUUGGCUUAAUACUUCUGAAGGUGGUUGGGGGUAGCUGGACUCCAUCUGACUCAAGUUUGAGUCUAGACUUCCCCUCCAACUCCCUUUAGGUUGCUGAGUAAAUUGUAGUAUGUUUGACACAAAAUCAGUAUCUGUCAUGCACUCUUAGGCAAAUGAUAAUUUUCUACUGAAAACUAUUUCCUUAGUGAAGGUAAAUCUUCAACCCCUGUUGACAGAUCCAAUUUUUGCAAAACGCCAGAAAAGUCUGUAACAUGUGGGGAAGCAUAAUUCAGCUUAGCAGAUAUUAUUGAGCAGUUACUACCUGUCAUUUGCUCCUUUGCUCUGAGAGUUGCCUGCUCCCUCCCUCCGCUUCCCUCAGUGUUUAACCCCAAGAGUCAUGUCCAGCCAACU